GUGCCAGCCGCCGCGGUAACACCGGCGCCUCGAGUGGGGAUCGCGAUUAUUGGGCCUAAAGCGUCCGUAGCAGGCCAUGUAAAUCCUUUGUGAAAUGGGCAGGCCUAACCUGUCCGCGUGCAGAGGACACUGCAAGGCUUGAGACCGGGAGAGGUCAGAAGUAUUCCUUGGGUACCGGUAAAAUGGGUUAAUCCAAGGAGGACUACCAAUGGCGAAGGCAUCUGACCAGAACGGUUCUGACUGUGAGGGACGAAAGCUAGGGGAGCAAAACGGAUUAGAUACCCGCGUAGUCC
rnacentral:rRNA from 1 species